AUUCCGGAGUCGGAGAACUGGGAGAGCGGCCCCCGAGGCGGAGCCUCCCUCCCGCCCCGAGUCCCGCUGCCCCCCACCUGGGGGAGAGGGGCGGGCGCCGCGCUGCCUUCCCUCCGCGCCUCGGCCGCGUGGCUUGCGGCUUAUUUUCCCAGCUGGCAAGCGUCGCGCUGCAGACAAGGGAAUGCCUGUGGUCCUGCGUGUUCCGAAGUUCAGGGGCCCCCUGAUCCCGCUGAGCCCUCUCCAGGAGCGAAAGGGUUAAGAAUGAUGAAGGGAAAUGUCAAAGAAACUAGAACACCUGAGCCUC
rnacentral:sRNA from 1 species